rnacentral:rRNA from 1 species
UACGGGGGGGGCAAGCGUUGUUCGGAAUUACUGGGCGUAAAGGGCGCGUAGGCGGCCCGCUAAGUCGAACGUGAAAUCCCCGAGCUCAACUCGGGAACUGCGUCCGAUACUGGUGGGCUUGAAUCCGGGAGAGGGAUGCGGAAUUCCAGGUGUAGCGGUGAAAUGCGUAGAUAUCUGGAGGAACACCGGUGGCGAAGGCGGCAUCCUGGACCGGCAUUGACGCUGAGGCGCGAAAGCUAGGGGAGCAAACGGG